CAAUGGCUUAAGAUUUAACGUAUGUUCUAAGAUGGAGAUUAAAAGAAUGGCUGCAUGCAGUGAGUUGCAAGAGAUUCAUUCAUUUAUUAAUAGCAGAAUGUUGCUUCAUGGUUAAUAUUUCAGCGUUACGCAUUGCCUUGUUGGCUUUACUUCUUCUGGUAGGAAUUCCAAGCUCAAUUGUGAAUUCCUACCCACCUUCCCAACUCCCUCUGCCAAUAACAGUGCUGUUGAUACCACCUUCAUAAUUUGGGUAAAAAUGAAUAUCUGACGUCUUCAUUUUGUGCUAUUGGACAAUCAGGACACCCCAUCUAUGAGGCCGCCCUGAGAGGGCAUGCAGCAGGCAUGCAUACAGCUGGGAGAUACAAGAWCUGAUGCACGUUCCUGAUCUAGAAGACUCUUGGCAACAGCUCUUGGCAAUAGAACAUGCCGAAUGCAUGGCUAGAAGGAGCUUACUAGUGUACACCCCAUGUGUAGUGAUUAUCCAGCAGCUUCACUGUGGCCUAAAAUAUGUGGAUGGCGGGAACUUUGAGACAGAGAAAAGGACGCAAGUCUUGCCAGCCAGAGGUGAGUCCAUUCUCUUGUCCUUCCCCUCUCACUCAGUGCUGGCACUGAGCAAUGCAACCAGCAUUCAGGAGGACGUACUCAUUGUCUUCAAAAGGAGGUAUUCCCCAAAGACCCUUUGACUUCCACCUUACCAACAGACACAUGCCCGCCACAGAGUUCCUGCACUCUGAGUUCAGACUCGCAUUGGAAAUGUCUUGGAGCCUCCUUCACUAAGAUUAAUGCAGAGAAGACGACUGGCUGGCUGGCUCUCACAUUGUGUCUACUAUGUUGGAAGAGGAGGAAGUGAUCCUGGAAGGGAUGAGAGCUGAGGGUCUGUGGAAGAUAUGUUGAGUUUAUCAUGUGGGAGGUAUUKUGCACUGGGGAUCCCUAUGUCACUGGCGUGUCCUGGGUCAGCUACCUGAGGCAGACAAAUUGAGUGAAGUCCUAUAGGGAGAUAGAAUAAGGUGAGUGUGAAAUUCUCCCAAAAUAUGAUACAGGCUUCCAUAUCCCAGUUACCCUUCUAGUCCAUCUCCUUCUCUCUUCAGCUCCUCAUGAUCCAAAUGCACUUCCAUAGCAAUGGUUUUCCCACUAGACCUCCCACAGCUUCCGCUUCUCCACCCAAGAACAUGAUCUGAUGGUGCCUCAGAACUGAGUUUUGACCUCUUUUGGGGCCAUAUAAUUCAAUUUUUCUUAAAUGGCUGAGAAGCCUGGAGCUGCUUCUGCUAUUAGUAACCUUUGUGUUACUAUUGUGGUUAUGUUGUUAUAUUACACUAGUAUUCUGCUUUUACAGAACAGCCCAGGUGCUGAUAAAUAUGGAUCUUCAUGUUCUGUAAAAAAAAGAAAGUCUAUCUUUUCUAAUUUGUCAGCCAGCAAUGUACCGGGGUGGAUACAUGCCUCAGAUCAGCAUUGCCAGAGAAGUCAUGAAUGACAGCGAUCCACAAAGAGUUUAGUUUACAAAAAAAUGAUUCAGGAGAGCAAGCCAGACAGAAAGUGAUUCAUAAUCCAGUCAUAAAUUCACCACUAAUCAUUAAUUAUGUUGUUCAUCCUCUAGUGAUGCAUGAGAGGAGUGGCAGAAUGUGCCUGGUCCAUAAAAAUCUUGACUCGCUUUUUGCAAGCUUUGGAUUGGACCCAGAUACUUAGCGUCAGCUGGAUUCGUUCAUGUGAUUAUUUUAAAUUUUUACUCCCUACUGGAUCAAUAGGAUGAUUUUCUUUGCUUCUCAGGACUCCCAGCUGAUACCCAGAAAACAUAGACAGCCUCAGUUGCCAUACUUACUUUUGUAGCCAUAUUCCGUGAUAAAUGGGACUGGGUGUAUAGGAGACUAACCUCUUAUUUUCAGAUUUACAGAACUUCCCUGGUAAGAAAAGAUCAGAGCCAGCUGAGUAAAUCGAUGAAGCUUGUCCUACCCUGGACUACAACAUUCACAGAGUUUGCACAGCUGAGCAGGACUGAGGUUCACUUGGAURAGCACGGAAGGGCUGAAAUGCUGCAAAGGAGAACAUCUUCAUGUUCCUGGCUCACACAGAGUGUUAGAAAGAGUCCUUUCUUUAAACACAYAGGCUGCAAGCAUGAGCUGUGUAAUACACAGAGGGCAGGGGUGUGUAGAUUAAUAAGUCUGGGAUCUUCUUUGAGAGGGCCAGGUGAGCUGUGCCACAAAGGCGCAUUCUUCAACCUAUGUGAUAGAAUCAGCAAAAGUUCAAUUCUGAUUUGCUUUCCUCUCUCUUCUGGGCCCUCUUGCAGUGCCUCUUGACAUCCUGGUAAUCUGUGUUGAGAACAGCAUUCUUACAUUUUGGUUCAGAGAAAAGGGAGAGCUGCCCAGCUGAGUGUAACUGCACACCCAGGAUAACCUGCUUCUUUUUUCAGUUCCCUGUCAAGUCAAAAUAAUUCCUCAUCUUUUUCUGGAGGUAUCUACAUUAGCAUUCUUGUUUGGUUCAAAUGUAUCCUCUAGAAGUGAAUCUCCUGAUUGUACCCGUUUACUGUGUUCUGCUUUCCAAUCCUGAGAGGUCUCAGGCUACAUAACUGGAUUCUUUUCAGAUUAAACUAAGCCAAAAGAUUUAUUCCAUGAGCUCCCAUAACCAGCUCCCAUCACUAAUGUUCAAUCCACAAGACAAGAAAUAUUCAAAAUAAAAACCCUUGAAAUAUGUAUACUGUGGACA
rnacentral:lncRNA from 1 species